rnacentral:rRNA from 1 species
UACGUAGGGGGCUAGCGUUGUCCGGAAUCAUUGGGCGUAAAGCGCGUGUAGGCGGUCCGGUAAGUCCGCUGUGAAAGUCGAGGGCUCAACCCUCGAAUGCCGGUGGAUACUGUCGGGCUAGAGUGCGGAAGAGGCGAGUGGAAUUCCUGGUGUAGCGGUGAAAUGCGCAGAUAUCAGGAGGAACACCGAUGGCGAAGGCAGGUCUCUGGGCCACUACUGACGCUGAGAAGCGAAAGCAUGGGGAGCGAACAGG